GUUUGUGAAGUGAUUGGCGCAUACUCCUCCAAGAUUGGAUAACAAGUUUUAUUGUUCAGGAAGCAUGGAAUUUGUUGAAAAAUCAGGAAGGACUUACAUUCUAGUUUCAAUUUGUGGCAAAGGGUUCUGAGUUGCAAUGUACAUUUGAAUUGAUUGUCAAUAAAGGAAAAAAGGUGAAGAAGGAAUAACUGCAUUUCAAAGCAAAGGUGAAGGAUAUGAAGCCAAACCAUGAGAAGGAAGAAAAGGCUAAGGUUGAACUUGAAUUGAAUACCAAAUCAGUGGAGAAGGAAAGGUCGAAGCAUAAGGAGGAUAAGCGGAAGAAACAUAAAGAGGAGGAUAGUGAAAUUGGAGAAAUAAAUAAUAAAGAGGAGAAAAAGAAAAAGAAGGAGAAGAUACAUAAAGAUAAAGAAGAUGAUGAGAACACAGAGAGAAAAAAAAGAAAAAUACAAGGAGGCAAAGAUGAAGAAAGAAGGAAAACACGAGGAUAAAGAGGUGGUAAAAGAAGAUGAAGAGAAAGAUGAGAAAAAAAUAGAAUAAGAAAGACAAGGAGAAGGAGAAAAGUAAAGACCCAAUCGAUCUGUUCUCUUUUUACCCUAAACCAAUCCAUCUUUUCUUUUCUCUAAACCCUUUCAAACCUUAAACCCUUCGGCUCCUCGUCCAAUGUGGCAAGUUAACUGGCCACAUCAACUGUCCUAUUAGACCUGUGAUGAAAAAUGUUAAUGGGUGACCGAUUUGUCUCUUUUCGAUAACAUUAGUGACUGAUUUGUUAUUUUUCGAAAGAUGAGUAACUGUUUCAUUAAUUGCAUCAAAGUUAAGUGACUGAUGGUGUAAUUUACCUUUAUUUUUAUUAGAUCGAUUAAUAUAUAUA